AUACAAGACUCGCGUGUUCACGCUAGCGACAGAACAACUGGCGACGAGGACGACGUUACUUCACGCAGCAGACGUCCUGAUCAGACCUACUGGUUUCUGCUUGUCAGCGUUCCAGCCGCAGCGACCGAGAGAGCGCCUCUGACUCACUUCUACGACUGUGACUACAGGGAAACAACACUAAUUGAGUGAAAAUGGAAUAACUGACCCACAGAAAGAAGGCAAUUCUGCUGGCCAACAUUCCCAGCUCAACAUAUCAGCUGAUCAAAAAGAUCUAGAAAGAACACCCCUCUCUCUCUCUCUCUCUCUCUCUCUCUCGCUUGGGAUUGCGUGCAAACAAUGAUAGUCAAGUAUUUUGUGGUCUCUAGUAUCUUCCUCCUGUCUCGGGCUGCACCUCCCUCCCCCCCCCCGAGACGGGUUGAAGAUAUUGUGGACAACAUAACAAAAUUUGGUCUUCCACCAGCAACACCAUGAUUAUUAUUAUAACACUUUUUUUCUUUUUGGAUCCGUUUUUGAGUUUACAUUAUCUCUCGCGACAGCAAGAUUUUCAUAGCAUAUAUUAUACAGUCGUGUUUCUCUAAUAGGGCGUCUUAUUAGACCAAGGUUUUAUACCUUAUUCCUAUAUAGAUCUUUGCAUGUAUACCCACCUGGUGGUGGACAUAUCUCAUCCAACCCAACAGGUGGUUCAUACAUAUCAUGCAGAGUCCUACGUGGAUUAUCCGAGGAUUGGAUUGUAUGCACCGUCUUCCACGGUUCCUCUAUCUUUUGUCUACUAUCUUGUGUAAUAUUGUGUAAUACACCAACACCAAUGCAUGUCACCC